AACAAUACAAGAGACGUAUUGACUUUAUAUAGACGAUUUAUAGAAAUAAAUUAUUGUCUACUUUUGAAUUAAUUGUACGUAUAUACUUGUUUUACAUUCAUAAUAUAAAAUAACCUAACACAUUUUUUUUUAUAUUUUAUUGUAUUUUAAAUACACAAUCGUCCCUUACACUUUUCUUAGUUCAGUGAUUCUAAGUGACUGUUUUUUCAUUUAUUAUUGUUUACCUCUGUCUUAUCUGUCAUAUUUUAUCAAUAUAUUUACUUU